rnacentral:rRNA from 1 species
UACGUAGGUGGCAAGCGUUAUCCGGAAUUACUGGGCGUAAAGCGCACGCAGGCGGUCUUUUAAGUUUGACGUGAAAGCGCCCGGCUCAACUGGGCGAGGUCCAUGGAAACUGGUCAGCUGGAGGACGGUAGAGGCGAGUGGAAUUCCCGGUGUAGUGGUGAAAUGCGUAGAGAUCGGGAGGAACACCUGUGGCGAAGGCGGCUCGCUGGGCCGGUCCUGACGCUGAAACGCGAAGGCGUGGGGAGCGAACGGG